GAUGAACGCUGGCGGCGUGCCUAAUACAUGCAAGUCGAGCGAACAGACGAGGAGCUUGCUCCUCUGACGUUAGCGGCGGACGGGUGAGUAACACGUGGAUAACCUACCUAUAAGACUGGGAUAACUUCGGGAAACCGGAGCUAAUACCGGAUAAUAUAUUGAACCGCAUGGUUCAAUAGUGAAAGACGGUUUUGCUGUCACUUAUAGAUGGAUCCGCGCCGCAUUAGCUAGUUGGUAAGGUAACGGCUUACCAAGGCAACGAUGCGUAGCCGACCUGAGAGGGUGAUCGCCCACCCGGGAACUGAGACACGGUCCAGACUCCUACGGGAGGCAGCAGUAGGGAAUCUUCCGCAAUGGGCGAAAGCCUGACGGAGCAACGCCGCGUGAGUGAUGAAGGUCUUCGGAUCGUAAAACUCUGUUAUUAGGGAAGAACAAAUGUGUAAGUAACUAUGCACGUCUUGACGGUACCUAAUCAGAAAGCCACGGCUAACUACGUG
rnacentral:rRNA from 1 species